rnacentral:rRNA from 1 species
GACGAACGCUGGCGGCGUGCCUAAUACAUGCAAGUCGAACGCAGUGGGGACUGGUGAGUAACACGUGGGUAACCUCCCAUCAGAGGGGAAAACACUUGGAAACAGGUGCUAAACCGAUACUGAUGGAUGGACCCGCGGUGAAUUAGCUAGUUGGUGGGGGAACGGCUCACCAAGGCCACGAUGCAUAGCCGAGCGGAGAGGUUGAUCGGCCACACUGGGACUGAGACACGGCCCAGACUCCUACGGGAGGCAGCAGUGGGGAAUCUUGGACAAUGGACGAAAGUCUGACCGAGCAACGCCGCGUGAGUGAAGAAGGUUUUCGGAUCGUAAAGCUCUGUUGUUAGAGAAGCGGUAUCUAACCAAGAAGCCACGGCUAACUACGUGCCAGCAGCCGCGGUAAUAC